rnacentral:tRNA from 2 species
GUGGCUAUAGCUCAGCUGGUUAGAGCACUGGUUUGUGGUACCAGGGGUCGUGGGUUCGAACCCCAUUAGCCACC